rnacentral:rRNA from 1 species
CCCUUAGAUGUUCUGGGCCGCACGCGUGCUACACUGAGUGGAUCAGCGGGUCAGGUUGCGCGAAAGCGUUUCCUAAUCUUUAAAUCUGCUCGUGAUGGGGAUUGACGGUUGCAAUUUUCUGUCAUGAACGAGGAAUACCUUGUAAGCGCGGGUCAUCAUCCCGCGCUGAAUACGUCCCUGCCCUUUGUACACACCGCCCGUCGCUCCUGCCGAUUGAGUGGUCCGGUGAGGCUUUGGGAUCUGAGCGGAAAGAGCGUUUCGCUGUUUCUGCUCGGAAAACUCAGUCGAACCUUAUCAUUUAGAGGAAGGAGAAGUCGUAACA